rnacentral:sRNA from 1 species
CCGAAACCUGAGGGACGGAGGUCAGACUCCGGGGUCUCGGGAACCCGGAGACGAGGGAGGACGCCGUAUUCUUUAAGAGGGAGUAUACGUUUCCUCGCCAUUUAUCCAAUGGAGAUUCCUCUUCCCUACUUAACAGGAACAGGGAAAGCGUGUCCCCCAACGGUACGGCUGCCCCGCCUCUUCCUGGGGGCCCGCACGUGUUACAGGAAGUGGGUGAGGGUAAUAUGGAGGAGCUUCCGGCAGGCCCCGGCGGCUGAAAGCCGGGGCAGAAGUGCUGGUCUGGGUCGGGAUUCCGGGCUCGGUCCCGCCGAGGCGGCGACUGCGGUAGGAGGGAGGAGGUUUUGGACGCGCUGGCUUCCCGCCGCUGUGCAUUGCAGCAUUAUUUCAGUUCAAAAUGAACUAUAUGCCUGGCACCGCCAGCCUCAUCGAGGACAUUGACAGUGAGUAGUUCAUCUCCUCCCGGUGGAACCUGGGGUGAGACCCUUCCUCUCGGGCGAGCGCUUCUUCCGAAGAAGCUUGUAGAAUGAGUCCCGGGCGGGGCCGGUGUGUUCUGAGCUCAAUCCGGGCGUUCCGCGUCGAUGUCCUCCACAGCUGCGGUACACACGGCUUGCCCACCUAGUAGCCUGCUGCUACUUCUGCCCCUCGCAGCCUCCGCCAGCCCUCUAGCUGGUGAGCCCCAAGCGAUGGAACUCAUUCUUGCUUCCGUGGGUCGCGGCAGCAGAGGCCCGAACACGAAAGAAGCCCGGGGGGGGGCUUCUCCCCCGUCCACUCCUACCUGCAGUAUUUCGAAGUAUCAGCGUGUUACCGGUGGAUGGAUCGGAAUACCUAGAGAGAGGAUUCAUUAAAAAGCGAAAAUAUUAAGACAGCGGCAGUUGGACUUAAUUGGCAGUAAACAAAAGCACUUGGUUCUGCUUCGAGAUGGAAGGACGCUUAUAGGCUUUUUAAGAAGCAUUGAUCAAUUUGCAAACUUAGUGCUACAUCAGACUGUGGAGCGUAUUCAUGUGGGCAAAAAAUACGGUGAUAUUCCUCGAGGGAUUUUUGUGGUCAGAGGAGAAAAUGUGGUCCUACUAGGAGAAAUAGACUUGGAAAAGGAGAGUGACACACCCCUCCAGCAAGUAUCCAUUGAAGAAAUUCUAGAAGAGCAAAGGGUGGAACAGCAGACCAAGCUGGAAGCAGAGAAGUUGAAAGUGCAGGCCCUGAAGGACCGAGGUCUUUCCAUUCCUCGAGCAGAUACUCUUGAUGAGUACUAAGUCUUUUGCCCAGAGGCUGUUGGCUCUUGAAGAGUAGGGGCUGUCGCUGAGUGAAAGUGACAUCCUGGCCACCUCACGCAUUUGAUCAGAGACUGUAGAGUUUUGAAAAGUCACUUUUAUUUUUAAUUAUUUUACAUAUGCAACAUGAAGAAAUCGUGUAGGUGGGUUUUUUUUUAAAAAAAAUAACAAAAUCACUGUUUAAAGAAACAGUGGCAUGGACUCCUUCACACGUCACUGUGGCACCAGCAACUACUUCUUUAUAUUGUUCUUCGUAUCCCAAAUUAGAGUUUACAGGGACAGUCUUCAUUUACUUGUAA